ensembl:lncRNA
GUCAAACCCAAACUCAGUGUCUCCCUGAAUUUGUUGAUUCAGGCUGGUCCAAUUUUGAGCAAUUUUCUUAGAUGGUAGCAGUGUUUAUUCUCAGUAGCUGCUAUUCAUUUAUUCCUAUUAGGACAACACAGGUUUUUGGAGCUAAAAUGUAGUAAUGUGACAGAAGCCAAUUACCCACUGCAUGCUUGGCUACAUGGGUGUGGGGGAACGAUAUAAGCCACCUGUCUCAGCAGUGAUUCCAUGCACCAAUUUAUCCAUUGAGAGAAAGGUUAUAAAAGGCUCAACAGGCUUGUGAGAGACUGCAGGAGGACAUGCUGCUGCAUGGCUCCACUUCAUUCGAAAAGCAACUACACGUAACAUCUACCCAGAGACUAUAAUGCAGGUACAAAGGAUGCAGCUGGACUGCUAACCAUUUGGCUGGUAACCUUUCCACCUGGCACUCAUUUGCAUUAUUGAAAUAUAUAUUCCAGGUGACUCACCCCCUUUCUUUAGGUUACUGUUUGACUUUCAGACAUAGCUGGGGUCCUUCUGGUUAAAGAUGCAUGAAGUAAGCACCAGCAAGAAGCACCAGCACUGUUAUGCGUCAUCCUCCUUAAAAUCCUUGGUAUGCCUGUGUCUGCUGAUCAGUGCAGAAGAAAGACUAGUUCUAUUUUUAGAUGUGAUGGUAAAAACCAGUAUGAAUGGACACGCCAGCUUUCCUCAUUACAAGAAGAAGACUGAUCUGUCCUCCAGCAGAUAUCAUACAUUGUUUGCCAUGAGACCUGCAUUUAACCAAAGGAGAUCUUGUGGGAAAGGCUUUAUCUGUGACAGAAUGAUAUCUAUUUGAUAACUUACCCGCCGAAGACAGCUGCUGGUGCACAGUAGAAGCCAGAAAGAUAUAAAUGUAAAAAAGAGGUGAACAGAGAAAGAAAGGAUACAUCCUGAAGACAGAAAGAAAAUACUUGAAUCCUUUGACCCAUGUCUGUCUGUUGCCUUCCUGGAUGCAAGAGGGAAAUGAAAAAUGUAGAAAAAGCGUGCAAGCAAGUUCUCUGAGGCUAUUUGAUAAAGCUCCAUCAUGUUAUUAACAAAAGAGGGAAGAACCUGUGUCCAAUUAUGGCACUAGGGUUUUCUGUUGUUAUUUUUCUUAAAUCAGGAGUGAUUACCAUGAUGGCAUGGGGGUGGUCAGGCUAUAAUGAAAGGGAAUGUUUUUUCUAUAUGCAGUAGAAAGUUAGUAUCUUGGAACUCCAUACUAAUAGAUAAAAAUUAAUAGUGCUAUAGGAACCAACUGCCAUCCCUGCUUGUAUUUAGGCAAGAAAAAGGGAACUCAAAUGCUGUUUUUUGUCUCAGCUGAGCAUGCUAGGGUGGGAUUUUUAAAUGCAAAUAUUCAGGAAAGAGGACCUGUGCUUUCUGAGUGCUCCAAAAACAUGUAUUUUGUAAUUUUCUAAACCAUGAGCAAUGUGUUUAAAAUGCUGUCCUGGGACUUCUGAAUGCAGCUUCUCAAUGGUAGUUCUGGAAGGCAAGAGGACAAAAAAUUGCCUGGAUUCUGAUGGAAAUGACAGUGCUUAUGCAGCUUAAGACUUUGCAUAAUACUUGGUUAAAGUGACCUUGCAAAGGUUAAUCUUCCUUGAACAAAAAGAAGAAAAAGUGGUGCUCAAGUCCUUUAGCCUGAUGUUUAUUUUCAAGAGUAGUCUUUUUAUACUAACUGCUUACACUCAAUGGAUGUGCUUUACAGUAAUGCUUAUGCUGUGCAUGUUGCCAUUUCUACUUCCAUUUUAUGCCUACCAAUUUCAUCUGGAUAGAUGACUGCAACUUUUCCUUUUGGAUUUGGCCCUUAGCGCUGUUUCCCCUGUUUCUGUCAUUUUAAGAUGUUUGCGCCAUCCUUUACAAAAGUGCUGAAGCUUUAAAUCAUUGGGAAACUGCAACUAGUGAGAAAUGCAGCUAUUCAUUAGAGGGAACAUUUUGUACAGGCAAAUGUGAUCUUGGAAUUGUGGGCGGUUUGAGCUGAAAUUGAAGUCACUGGCUUUGACUUGGGACUUGAUACACAGAGAGAUUUCUUCUCUGGGCUGUGCUGUAGCUGCUGUAAUCCUUAAACUGGAGCUUUCUCAAUAUGAAAGAGGGGAGGAGCUUUGAUGGCUGUGAACAAACUGAAAUUACUGCCUGUCCUAGUGUCAAAAAUUGCCUUUCUGUGGUGACUUUUCAGGCUACUGUAAAAGCCAACUGUUUGAGAGUGUUUGGAGAAAGCUGAGAGCCAACUUCUCACAGCAGUGGUGAGGAAGGAAGUAAUUUCUGUUCAUUGUUGCAUUCCCACGUAAAUGAUUAGAUUAAGGCCUCUGUAUUUCAUUGUAUUGUAUAAAUUAAUGAUGAUGCUAUUAGGGAUCUACAGUCAUGGAUAUGGGGGAGAGGGGUGUCAUUUUAAUUCUAAAUAAAUUCUACAGGUGCUGCA